rnacentral:rRNA from 1 species
GAUGAACGCUGGCGGCGUGCCUAAUACAUGCAAGUCGAGCGAAUGGAUUAAGAGCUUGCUCUUAUGAAGUUAGCGGCGGACGGGUGAGUAACACGUGGGUAACCUGCCCAUAAGACUGGGAUAACUCCGGGAAACCGGGGCUAAUACCGGAUAACAUUUUGAACCGCAUGGUUCGAAAUUGAAAGGCGGCUUCGGCUGUCACUUAUGGAUGGACCCGCGUCGCAUUAGCUAGUUGGUGAGGUAACGGCUCACCAAGGCAACGAUGCGUAGCCGACCUGGGAGGGUGAUCGGCCAAGCGGGGACUGAGACACGGCCCAGACUCCUACGGGAGGCAGCAGUAGGGAAUCUUCCGCAAUGGACGAAAGUCUGACGGAGCAACGCCGCGUGAGUGAUGAAGGCUUUCGGGUCGUAAAACUCUGUUGUUAGGGAAGAACAAGUGCUAGUUGAAUAAGCCGGCACCUUGACGGUACCUAACCAGAAAGCCACGGCUAACUACGUGCCAGCAGCCGCCGUAA